AUUUGAAUGGCCGGUUGCCAGCCCCAUCGAGGGUAACGAGUACGUGGAAGUCCAGGUCUACAACUACAGCAAGGUGUUCAGCAACAGACUUAUCGGCACCUUUCGCAUGGUGCUCCAGAAACUGAUACAAGAAGGACAGCUGUCAAUCACAGAAACACUGCUGGACGCAAACAACACCGUCAUAAAUACUGAAGUUGACCUGGAGCUGAAGUACCAGGCCCCCGAUGGCACGGUCGGCAACUGGAUGCGAGAGGAAUUCCACUUCCCUCAGGAAGACGACGACACGGUCUCUCUACUCAGCGGGAACUCCCGGUUCAGCAG